rnacentral:ncRNA from 12 species
GCUAUUUGUGGUGGUAAAUUUUCGUGUUGACCACACGCCGAUGGUACUGACAGGGGAAACCCGAGAGAUGCGGGAGAAUGACACGCCUGCCAAAUAGC